CCCUCGUGAUGACAGGUUUGUUCGAAUUAACUUACCUCUUUUGAUUUCUUUCUAUAUUGUUGAAGUUAUUGUUAUCUGUAACACAACUUAUCUUCCUUUUAUAUUAUUCAAGUUAUCGUUAUCUGUAACACAGUUUAUCUUCUUUCUAUAUUGUUCAAGUUGUCGUUAUCUGUAACACAGUUUAUCUUCCUUCUAUAUUGUUCAAGUUGUCGUUAUCUGUAACAUAAUUUAUCUUCCUUCUAUAUUGUUCAAGUUGUCGUUAUCUGUAACACAAUUCAUCUUCCUUCUAUAUUGUUCAUCUUCCUUCUAUAUUGUUCAAGUUGUCGUUAUCUGUAACACAGUUCAUCUUCCUUCUAUAUUGUUCAAGUUGUCAUUAUCUGUAACACAGUUCAUCUUCCUUCUAUAUUGUUCAUCUUCCUUAUAUAUUGUUCAAGUUGUCGUUAUCUGUAACACAAUUUAUCUUCCUUCUAUAUUGUUCAAGUUGUUUAGCUUCCUUAUAUAUUGUUCAAGUUGUCGUUAUCCGUAACACAAUUUAUCUUCCUUCUAUAUUGUUCAAGUUGUCGUUAUCCGUAACACAAUUUAUCUUCCUUCUAUAUUGCUCAAGUUGUCGUUAUCCGUAACACAGUUCAUCUUCCUUCUAUAUUGUUCAAGUUGUCGUUAUCUGUAACACAAUUCAUCUUCCUUCUAUAUUGCUCAUCUUCCUUAUAUAUUGUUCAAGUUGUCGUUAUCUGUAACACAAUUUAUCUUCCUUCUAUAUUGUUCAUCUUCCUUCUAUAUUGUUCAAGUUGUUUAGCUUCCUUGUAUAUUGUUCAAGUUGUCGUUAUCCCGUAACACAGUUUAUCUUCCUUCUAUAUUGCUCAAGUUGUCGUUAUCCGUAACACAAUUUAUCUUCCUUCUAUAUUGCUCAAGUUGUCGUUAUCCGUAACACAGUUUAUCUUCCUUCUAUAUUGCUCAAGUUGUCGUUAUUCGUAACACAGUUUAUCUUCCUUCUAUAUUGUUCAUCUUCGUUCUAUAUUGUUCAAGUUGUUUAGCUUCCUUGUAUAUUGUUCAAGUUGUCGUUAUCCGUAACACAAUUUAUCUUCCUUCUAUAUUGCUCAAGUUGUCGUUAUCCGUAACACAGUUUAUCUUCCUUCUAUAUUGCUCAAGUUAUCAUUAUCUGUAACACAUUUUAUCUUCCUUUUAUAUUGUUCAAGUUAUCGUUAUCCGUAAUACAGUUUAUCUUCCUUCCAUAUUGUUCAAGUUGUUGUUAUCCAUAACACAAUUUAUCUUCCUUCCAUAUUGUUCAAGUUAUCGUUAUCCGUAACAUAGUUUAUCUUCGUUCUAUAUUGUUCAAAUUAUUGUUAUCUGUAAUACAAUUUAUCUCUCUCUCCCCCUCCCACCCCAAACAUCUCUUGAUUUUCCGAAAUCAUUCUAUAGAAAUUGCAAAACUAGAAGAUUUUUUUUAUUAAUAAAUUUUAUUAUGGCAUAUUAUCAUUUUACAACUUAAUGUUUUCGAACAUAUUACGUUACUGCCACAGAUUUCUGACAAUUAUUUUUCCCUACUUAAUUUUUUAGUUUUUAUCAUUUUACUACCAAAUCGUUAACUGCAUUUGUGAUGUUACAGAGAUAUUUUAGGAAUUUUAAUAUAUUCAAUAUUUUAGGAAUU
rnacentral:lncRNA from 1 species